ACAACAAAUAAAGACUGUUACAGGCGGAGCCUCGCCCUUUAAGAUUUGCAUUGUGGGAAAUUGAGUCUCUGUCUCGGUGUGUCUUCAACCUGUCUGUUCCGCCCCAUUGUCUUCUGCGUCUUGAUUGGCUGUAAAUCAUUGUCAAUCAAUCUCCUCCUUCCCGCCGUCUUGCCGACUGCGGUGUUUUGCUAGCUAGCAGCAGUUAACUUUUAUUUCUCCCCAACAAAACACGCAAAAAAACACAAAAGCGACGAAACGGGAAUGAGAAUGCCCGUCAUCAUAGCACAAAAGGUUGGAAGGAGGACGGCGGCAAUAUUUUAACAAGGAUACAAAAAAGCAACGGAACGGCGCCGGGACAGAACGGCAUGGUUACAGGAGUUAAAUAACAGUCUGGCAAUCCGACGGUCCUGAAGGAUGACCCGGUCCCGCAGAGACUUGAACUCUCUGAGUACCUCCUCCAGUUUAUCCUCCAUCUUCUGCUGAAAUAAAUGACGCAAAGAAAACUUCAACUUUGGGGGAUGAAGAGAUUGUUUUACGACAGACGUAGGGGUCUGCGCCCGCGCAUGCAACUACGUUCCACAUCACCGAAAUCAGACCAGGACUCGGAUCACAGGACUAAGUGGGAGGGGGUCGAGGCGCCCGCAUGUCUGAGCGGCCGUGCCCUCGCCUGGCAACGUUAGAUGAGCCAUGGGGAAACCCUCGUCCUCCAGGAGUGCAUCUCUCUCCACGUCUUCGAUCUCGAUGAAGACUCUCUCCAUUCCGAGCAGAGGGGGGCCCCGCACUGGGGUCGAGGGCUCGCUGUCUAACGCAGAGUCUGACAGGCGCCUGAAGUAGUAGUUGUAGUUGAGGGAGUCGAGGGGUUCCAUCUCUAGACCUCGACAGGGCGACGCCCCACAACCUCCCCAGGCUUCCUCCUCUCCCUCUUGGCCCGAACACCGGCUGGAUGCUUGUAGCUCAUCUGAGCCUUCCUCAUCACUUCCUGGUCUCCAUAGCUUGUUGUGCCGCUGCUUACUGGAAAGUGAAAAAAGUGGCAAUAGCUGUGUGUUUGCAGUAAUCGAGUUUUAUGCAAAAACCUACAGUACCUCGCAUCCAGUAUUCCCUCAUAUUCUGCAAGCUGUCUCAUGAAACCUGCGUUAGGCUGAGCGAUGCUUCGCUUCUGCUUGACAAAGUUAUACGCUUUUUCCAGAGGCCAACCAUACUCUUUCAUAGCGUAGGCGAUAACAGUGGAGGCGGAGCGGCUUACACCCAUCUUACAGUGCACCAGGCACUUGGAACUGUUCUUCCUGGAGGACAAAACACAUAUUAACAGCACAUUAGAAGAUCCAGGACACUUUGGAGAGACUACGUCUCUCAACUGGCCUGGGAACACCUUGAGAUCAGUCGGCCUCUGCGACCCGACCUCGGCUGCAACUACUAUUACUACAGUGUGUAUAUGUGUCACCUGGCUUUGACAAUAAAGUUGUAUGUGUCGUUCCAGUGGGCUAGCAGGUCGGUGGCGUCCUCGUCAUACACGCGGACAUUAUGGUAGGAGAACAUCCCUGGGAAGAAGUUGUCAAUCUCUCUGGUCACAUUUAGAAUGUAGCCCACUCUGAAACAAAUACCCAAGCUUCUGUUGGUCGUGCUACAUGGAGCAAUGAAAACCAAGAGUUGCUGAUCCUUACCCACAGUCGCGCAGUUCUUCGAGGUUGGAAGCGUUCCAUUCUGAGCCCUAUACAAGCAAAAGCGCUGUAUCAGAAUAACUGCCAUGUACUGUACUUAAAACCUAUGAUAGAUAGUGAUAAUUCUCACCAAAUAGACAUGGUCAAAGAUAACGGUGGCCUUGUCCAUCUGUCCCAGUAUCAACAACAUCUCAUUAUCUAUGAACUCCUUGUAUUCGGUCAGGUUGCAACUCAUAUGCUGCUCCAGCUCCGUACGAAUCUGAGGAGAAGGCAGAAAAGUCAAACAAAAAAUUCUAGAAUAUUGAAAUAUAAAUAAAGAAGUCAUACAGAUAAAAAAAAAACAGUAGAACCCUCAUUGGAAUGAAGGUCUCAUACCUCCUUGGAAGUGAUGUUCUCCAAGUCUUGAAACAUCAUGAUGCUGCGUAGCUUUGCUUUAAUGAGACACUCAGUCCGCUCCCUCUCAGUCGGCCUGCACCAAAUUACACAAAAUCAGAGCUGCCCCUUUUAAGAAUAAGCACCCCUCAUAUGCACAAGAGAUCCAUGUUGACAAUUUAUAUUUAGCGAGUAACGGCACGCAGCACACUUGUCGGCCUGAUGCCGAUCUGAAAGCUGCAUAAACCCCUCAACGAUGCAAUGACCAGAGCCAAGAAGGCAGGGCUUGGACACACUUCUCCGUCGCCUAGCAACACCAGUCUGGCUCGUCAAACAUACAUGGGUGUCCAAUGUGUGGCUCAGUACACAAAUAAAAUAAACAAAACCCAGCAAAAGACGGCAUGGCGGUCUAGUGUUUAGCACGCAGACCUCACAGCUAGGAGACCAGGGUUCAAUUCCACCCUCGGCCAUCUCUGUGUGGAGUUUGCAUGUUCUCCCCGUGCAUGCGUGGGU